AGGGGUUGUGGGGGACGUCCAAGAACACAUUUGGAGGGACCGGUUGCGUUAAGAUCCGAUUCGUGAAAAUGCAUCGGCUGCCUCAUUAUGUCGGCGAUCAAUGUGAUCGACUCGGUAACCAUGGAAGUGACCCGCCACCUCGGUUACUGCAUGGCGAUAAGUCGCUAUCAGGGGGUCCUUUGAAUCCCAAGUCCUAGAGACCUCUUGACCCGCCAAAUCUGAGUGGCCCAAGCAUCUGACCCGGCUAAGGUUAAUCUCCUUUGAAAUACUAAGCCCAUGGAGGAGAGCUUCA
rnacentral:lncRNA from 1 species